rnacentral:rRNA from 1 species
UUCUCCCGCCGGCGACCGGCGCACGGGUGAGUAACACGUAUGCAACCUGCCCCUGUCAGGGGGACAACCCGCCGAAAGGCGGGCUAAACCCGCGUACAUGCCACCGGGGCAUCCCGGAGGCAGGAAAGGCUUCGGCCGGACAGGGAUGGGCAUGCGGCGCAUUAGGCAGUAGGCGGGGUAACGGCCCACCUAACCGACGAUGCGUAGGGGUUCUGAGAGGAAGGUCCCCCACACUGGUACUGAGACACGGACCAGACUCCUACGGGAGGCAGCAG